CUCGGGGAUAGCCUUUCGAAAGAAAGAUUAAUACCCGAUGUCAUAGUCCUACCGCAUGAUGGGAUUAUUAAAGAAUUUCGGUAUGGGAUGGGGAUGCGUUCCAUUAGUUAGUUGGCGGGGUAACGGCCCACCAAGACAACGAUGGAUAGGGGUUCUGAGAGGAAGGUCCCCCACAUUGGAACUGAGACACGGUCCAAACUCCUACGGGAGGCAGCAGUGAGGAAUAUUGGUCAAUGGACGAGAGUCUGAACCAGCCAAGUAGCGUGAAGGAUGACUGCCCUACGGGUUGUAAACUUCUUUUAUAUGGGAAUAAAAUGUUCCACGUGUGGGAUUUUGUAUGUACCAUAUGAAUAAGGAUCGGCUAACUCCGUGCCAGCAGCCGCGGUAAUACGGAGGAUCCGAACGUUAUCCGGAUUUAUUGGGUUUAAAGGGAGCGUAGGUGGAUUGUUAAGUCAGUUGUGAAAGUUUGCGGCUCAACCGUAAAAUUGCAGUUGAAACUGGCAGUCUUGAGUACAGUAGAGGUGGGCGGAAUUCGUGGUGUAGCGGUGAAAUGCUUAGAUAUCACGAAGAACUCCGAUUGCGAAGGCAGCUCACUGGACUGCAACUGACACUGAGGCUCGAAAGUGUGGGUAUCAAACAGGAUUAGAUACCCUGGUAGUCCACACAGUAAACGAUAAAUGCUCGCUGUUUGCGAUAUACUGCAAGCGGCCAAG
rnacentral:rRNA from 1 species